GACGAACGCUGGCGGCGUGCUUAACACAUGCAAGUCGAACGGAAAGGCCCUGCUUUUGUGGGGUGCUCGAGUGGCGAACGGGUGAGUAACACGUGAGUAACCUGCCCUUGACUUUGGGAUAACUUCAGGAAACUGGGGCUAAUACCGGAUAGGAGCUCCUGCUGCAUGGUGGGGGUUGGAAAGUUUCGGCGGUUGGGGAUGGACUCGCGGCUUAUCAGCUUGUUGGUGGGGUAGUGGCUUACCAAGGCUUUGACGGGUAGCCGGCCUGAGAGGGUGACCGGCCAAAAUGGGAACGGGGUUCGGGCCCGGCUCCCAAGGGGAGGCAGAGGGGGGGAUAUUGCACAAUGGGCGGAAGCCUGAUGCAGCAACGCCGCGUGCGGGAUGACGGCCUUCGGGUUGUAAACCGCUUUCGCCUGUGACGAAGCGUGAGUGACGGUAAUGGGUAAAGAAGCACCGGCUAACUACGUG
rnacentral:rRNA from 1 species